rnacentral:lncRNA from 1 species
GUGCACUUUUUCGUUCUUACCUAGGUAUCCAUCAUUGCAUGCUCCUCUCUGCAGCUAUCACAAUGGUGACGUUCUCACAAUCCGCGGAUCUGCAACACACUCGUACAAUGUCGUUGCCGUAAUUAGUUUUAGGAUUAUCUGAAUGAUUUCAUGGGUGUAAGACACUCGACAAGGAGGAUACAUGAGAUUUCAAGAGCACGAUAUGCAGAUCAAUACUUGGCUAGAAAGCUGUUGCAUGUGAGGCCCUUCAUUCACGAAAGGGUAGGGUAUGAAUCGUGUGACUCCCUGCAUUGCCUCGGAUGCUGAGCCGCCCACUUUUUGAUGCUAGGUUU